AAUCGAUAAAGGCAAACGUAGUGAAAAUUACGGGCGCAAAGUCACAGGUCUAAGGUGUUACACUAUGAUGGCUGGACUGCCGUU
rnacentral:ncRNA from 1 species